AGUAGACUGAACUGAAUGGGGGAAGCAAUGAUAGUGGAAGAAAUAAUAGCAUAUUCUUGGGGAAAAAAUUGGUGAGGGGGCCAAAAAAACAAACAAGAAAAGGUAAAAAUGAAAUAAGAUUCUGGAUGCUGAGUCUUAACAGGUUGGGGUCCUGCACCCGUUUGUGAGUAUUAUGCUAUCACUUGGCAUAUAAGAUCUGAGAUCUGCUGAGACUCAUCCUAGGUCCUCUCAGGGGGAUUAUGGAUACCAGAGUGAACAUUUCCAGCUUUAUUUUCCAGAGAACUUUUCAUCCUGAAGGUUGGCUUCUGUCUAACAUUGGCAUGUGUUUGACACUUCAUUAAAUUCCCCAUUUCAGUGGGCAGAAGUGAGAGUACACAGCCGGUACUGUGGUAGUUGUGCAAAAUCUUAGGUUAGGCAAAACUGUGCAGGGCAAAAUCAUAAAGUAAAAAAAGGGCCCCAAGAAUUCUUUUCCUGCAGUGGAGUUACUCAAGAUAUAGCCAACCUCUUUCAGGUCUAGCGUUAAUCUUAACUAAACUUAUAAAGAUUUCUCAGGCUCCAUACUAUAUUCAUAGCUUCCAGGGAGAAGUAAAUCACUAUCAAAUUUUGUGUAGAUAUAGGGUCUUUCAAAGGGACUCAUUGGCCAAAUAUAAUUUUUCCAUUGGAUUUAUCUGAAGAGUAAGGCAAUGUGGGUCUUCAUGGCUCCUUAGCUGGUCCACAUCAAACAGACAGUGUGAAGCCAUUGGCGGUCAUUGUACCUCCUACUAGCUAGAUUACACUGGAAUAGUGUCACAUUUUACUAACACUCCGCAGAAAACUUUCCUUGACUGUACUGCCUCGCUUUCAUGGGAUGGUGUCCAGGAUAAGCAGGGAAAAUAUUUCCCUCCCCCCUCCUAUUUUAUCUGAGUUUGCUCAAGGAACUGAAAUCAUCAUGUUCUGAGCCACAUGCCAUGUUCAAGGCCUCCAACGAGCACACAGAAAACUCUGAGGAAUCGUUAUUCAGUGACUUUGCCAUUUGCAAGCCUGUGGAAUUCAGGUGCCCACAGGAAGAAGUGGAGAGGUUUUUCCAGCCUGACCGUAUCAGCCGCGUCACCACAAGAACCUUCUGUUUUGGCUGAAGUCCUUCUAUCAGACUCAGGCUGUUCCUUGUGGCCAAGUUACUGCUCCCCUGAAGAGAAAUUCUCUAAUGACUACAGAUGGGUCCCAAGAACAAAGAGAUACAAUUGCAACCAGGAUGUCUUGUGGAUAAGAGGCUGCAUUUUCACCGUAAGCGAUUCUAAGGCGUAGAUUUGCCUGAAGGAGAUUUUCUGGAAAUUAUAUCAGAGAAAAACACCUCUGAAGGUAAGGGAAGCAGAGCUGGGCAAAAGGAGAAAUAGAACUGUGAGACAGUUGUGGCAGAUGUUUCAGCCAAUUCUACUUGGAAUUUUGUUUUUCUGUUUGUUUACUUAAUUUUCUAAAAUUAUCACCAUGCCAGUAGCUAUGAAGUGGUAUCUCAUUGUGGUUUUGAUUUGCAUCUCUCUAAUGUGUAAUGAUGAUUAUUAUUUAUUUGUGUAUUUCCUUUAGAGAAACCCCUGUUAUGGGGAGGGAGGUGAGAGGGGGGUUCAUGUUUGGGAACGCAUGUAAGAAUUAAAGAUUUUAAAAUUUAAAAAAAAAUAAAUAAAAUAAAUAAAGUUAUAUUAUAAUGACAAAAAAAAUAAAAAAAUAAAAUAUUUUUUAAAAGAUAAAAAAAAAAAAAAAAAGAAACCCCUUCUUGCCAAUCCCUUUCUGAUCCAUGUAUCCU
ensembl:lincRNA